UUUUUCUUUUUCUUUUUUUCUUUUUUCUUUCCUUUUUUUUUUUAACCUGCCGUUGAGAUGGAGAGGCUGCAAGAAAGAGUCCUGAAGAAGAAAAGCCUGGAGUGCUGGAAGUAA
rnacentral:ribozyme from 13 species